AACGCACAUUGCGCCCCUUGGUAUUCCGAGGGGCAUGCCUGUUCGAGCGUCAUUUAUACCAACUCCUCUGCAAAGAGGGUCUUGGACUUCGCCUCUGGGCGGGUCUCAAAAUCAGUGGCGGUGCCUUAAGGCUCUACGCGUAGUAAUACACCCCGCGAUAGAACCCUUAGGGUAUCUUGCCAGCAACCCCCAACUUCUUAGGUUGACCUCGGAUCAGGUAGGGAUACCCGCUGAACUUAA
rnacentral:misc_RNA from 1 species